GAGAGACUGGCCUAACCUCCCAGCCUACAUCUUUCUCCCGUGUUGGAUGUUUCCUGCCCUCAAACAGCAGACUCCAAGUUCUUCACUUUUGAGACUGGGACUGGCUCUCCUUGCUCCUCAAGCUUGCUGUCUCCUAUUGUGGGACCUUGUGAUUGUAAGUAAGAGUUCCACUCUGGCAUAGCAGCGUGAGGAUUUCCUUCUACCUGUUCUUCAGAGAAACUGGUGAAAAUUAUGGAACAACAACAAGAACAAAACACCAGUCGAAGCCUUUGGGACUAGUUCUAAAGAAAAACAGCAAAUGAAGAAAUAUCUGUUCAAGAAAAUCUAUGAAAAUUCAAUAAGAAAAUUCAAUAAGAAAAGUAUGAAUCUGUGGUAUCUGAACCAAGACUACUUCCUCCCUCCACCUUUCUACCCCCUCUAUUCAGAGAGAUGGAAACUUCACUCUUGACUGCUGCAACCAAAAAUAUAGGGCUCCCUUUCUUCACAGUCCUCAUCCAGAGGGUUUUCUUCCUGAAAGGAGCAAGACUUCAGCAUUUCUCAUCCUACCUUCAGGUGCCUUCUGCUGAGGCUAAGUCCCAGAUGAUUUUGAACAAUUAGGGAAUCCCUUUUUCUACCCUAUCUCCACUAAUGGAAUGGAGGCUCUAUCUUGGACACAGCAGCACUGAGAAUAUGGAAGCCCUGCUAGCCGUUUCCCUGGCUCCUGAGGCAGUGGUUCCAUAUUAGGAGAGGCAAGCUGAGAAGACCUUACUUAGGCUUUUGCACGCCCCCCCGGCAUCCCUUUCUUACUGCCAUCAUUCACAUUACUCAGCUCCUAAGUGGAAGUGUCACUCAGAAAGAAACUUGUCAUUGUCCCCACUCUCAUCUCCAGAGCCCUGACUCAGACAUUUUUGCCAGGAAUGAGAAACAAGCCUUAAAAUAGGGUAGUUCCCAAUCUCUUCCCAGAGGAACUGACUUUGUUUGAAACAGAUUGUGGAAAAGUUUAAAAGUAGGGACACUCUCAGGAAUAGUAGAGUUAGGGUAAUAGGCAAGUAAGAAGACAUAUGUGGAUAUAAUUAAUGUACAGACAACACCGUAGACCAGCUAGUUUGCAGGAGAGAACUGCAGAAGAAGACAGCUUGGAGAAACCCUCCUGGCAACAGAAAACAAAAAUAAAAAACAUUGAACAUAGAAACUACAUGAAGAAGCCACAAUUUGAUUGGAUUGGUUUGUAGAGGAAUUUAUGUCCAGGACGUUGUUGAUAAUAAUAGAGCAAUCCCAGAUUGUUAAUGGAGUUUAAUAACUGUGUGUGUGUAGGGAACAUGGGAAGAGAGCCUUAUAAGUCCCAGUGUGGCCAUGGCAUACCCUAAACUGCUCCCCCCUAGAUUUUACUAAACUAAAGUAAUCCAGCCAGUCACUAAAGAAAUAAACAAGCGGCCGGGUACAGUGGCUCACUCCUGUAAUCCCAGCACUUUAGGAGGCUGAGGCGGGCGGAUCAUGAGGUCAGGAGAUCGAGACCAUCCUGGCUAACACGGUGAAACCCCAUCUCUACUAAAAAUACAAAAAAUUAGCCAGGCAUGGUGGCGGGCACCUGUAGUCCCAGCUACUGGGGAGGCUGAGGCAGGAGAAUGGCGUGAACCCGCGAGGCAGAGCUUGCAGUGAGCCGAGAUGGAGCCACUGCACUCCAGCCUGGGUGACAGAGCAAGACUCUGUCUCAAAAAAAAAAAAAAAAAAAAGAAAGAAAGAAACAAGCAAAUAACAAUAACAAACUCUGGUUUGGGAAGAAGCAAUAUCCAGAGUUGGUUGCUAUAUUAUCUGGAAUGUUCAGUUUUCCACAAAAACUUACAAGGCAUGUGAAAAAAUAGGUAAGUAUGACUUACACCCAGGAAAAGAAGCAGGAAACAGAGACUGCCUAUGAGAAUAACCAGAUGUUAAGCUUAACAGAAAACUAUUUCAAAGUAGCCACUGUAAAUAUGUUCAUACAGAUGAAGGAAAGCAUGAUCAAAGAAAUAAAUAUAUAACAAUACUGUACCAAAGAGAGAAUGUUAUAACAGACAGAUAGAAAUUAUUACAUUUUUUAAAGGACCAAAUGGAAAUUCUGGAGUUAAAAAGUGAAAUAACUGAAAUAAGAAAUUCACUAGAGGGCUCAACAGUAGAUAUACAGUGGCAGAAAAAAAGUAUUAGUGAACUCAAAAUUAGAGCAAUUGAGAUUAUGCAAGUCAUAGAACAGAGAGAAAAAACAAUUAAGAAACAAUGAAGACAAGAAAGCAGUGGGAAAACAUAUUGAAAGUGCUUAAAGAAAAACAGACAACAAUGAAUCCUAUCUUUUAAAAUUGAAGGGCAAUACAAAAAAACUGUCUUUUAAAAUUGAAGGGCAAGACAAAAUAGAGACAGAGAGAGAGAGAAUUUGCUCCCAGCACACCAGCCUUACAAAAAGUAUUUAAGAAAUUUCUUCAUGCUGAAACCAAGUGACCUCAGAUAGUAAUUUGAGUCUACAUAAACAGAGAAAGAGCAUUAAGUAAAGGUUGAAUUGUGUCUCCCAAAAGAUGUUGAAGUCCUAACUCCCAGGACGUGGGAAUGUGACCUUAUUUGGAAAUGAAGUCUUUGCAAAUGAUCAAAUUAGGUUGGGGCCAUUAGGGUCGGCCCUAAUUCAAUAUGACUGCUCUUAUACAAAGGGGAAAUUUGGACACAGAGACAGGGUUACAGAGAGGCGGCCAUGUAAACACACAGUGAGUACACAAUCUACAAAUGAAAGAAUGCCCAGGCCCCCAGGAGAGAGCAGCAUGGAACAGAUUCACCCUUAAAGCUCUCAGAAGGAACCAACCUUGCUGACACCUUGUGUUAAGACCUCUAGCCUCUAGAACUGUGAGACAACACAUUUUUGUUGUUUAAGUCACUCUAUAGUAUUUUAUUACUGCAGCUUCAGGAAACCAAUACCUCUUACUACUAAUUUUUUCUUUUAAAAAACCUUUAAGUAGAGCCAUUUUAUCUUGUUUAUAAUUGUCAAGAAAAGAUAAAUAAUCUAAGUGAAUUAUAUAUACAUUUAUUUUUCUAGGUGCUUUCUUGAUCCAACUUAAAGAACUAUUGCAAUGUUAGUCAUAAAAGCAUAGUAUAGGCCACUUAAGGAUCACUAGUUGUUCUUUUAAAAUAAAUUUUGUGGUGAAAAGUAUUUGGGAGAAGCUGAAUUUCAGUGUAGACACUAAUGUGUAUUUGCAUUUUUGAAGACUUUGAUAUGUCUGGACGUCAAAUUAUUUUGUUUAUAAUCUAUACAUCAUGGUGGCUGGGCGUGGGGGCUCAUGCCUAUAAUCCCAGCACUUCGGGAGGCCGAGGUGGUUGGAUCAUGAGGUCAGGAGUUCAAGACAAGCCUGGGUGAAACCCUGUCUCUACUAAAAAUACAAAAAUUAGUCGAGCAUGGUGGUGGGCACCUGUAAUCCCAGCUACUUGGGAG
rnacentral:lncRNA from 1 species